AUUGAACGCUGGCGGCAUGCCUUACACAUGCAAGUCGAACGGCAGCACGGGAGCAAUCCUGGUGGCGAGUGGCGAACGGGUGAGUAAAGUAUCGGAACGUGCCCAGUCGUGGGGGAUAACGUAGCGAAAGUUACGCUAAUACCGCAUACGAUCUAUGGAUGAAAGCGGGGGAUCGCAAGACCUCGCGCGAUUGGAGCGGCCGAUAUCAGAUUAGGUAGUUGGUGGGGUAAAGGCUCACCAAGCCGACGAUCUGUAGCUGGUCUGAGAGGACGACCAGCCACACUGGGACUGAGACACGGCCCAGACUCCGACGGGAGGCAGCAGUGGGGAAUUUUGGACAAUGGGCGCAAGCCUGAUCCAGCCAUGCCGCGUGCAGGAUGAAGGCCUUCGGGUUGUAAACUGCUUUUGUACGGAACGAAAAGGUUUGACUUAAUAAAGAGUGAGGUUGACGGUACCUUGAUAGGAAGCACCGGCUAACUACGUGCCAGCAGCCGCCGUAA
rnacentral:rRNA from 1 species